UUCUUUGUGGUUUUCUAUGGCUUUUUACUCCACUCUGUGCCUCUUAAUGUAUACACAUUCUUAUUGCAGAAUAUUUAUGCACUUUUGGAAGAGCUAAGAGAGACAUACUACUGUAUAAAUUACUAAUAAAAAUAUAUUAGCCAUGUUUUAUAAUUAAUCAGUAUCUUAACCAUCACAAUGGAAAUUGGGGUGAUUACAGGACAUCAGAGAAUUUAAGCAAAUUUUCCAAAGCUAGUUUUCAACACAUUAAGGUUACUCUUACCCUUUUUUCUUGCUGCUGCUGCUGCUACAUUUUCUUCUUAUCCUACUUUUAAAUCUUAUGGGAUGUGCAUAACUCUAAAUAGAGCUGUGCUGCAGCAACUAAAACUGCUGAUGAAUGUUUUCUAGGUUGAAGCUGAUCUGGGCUAUCCAGGUGGAAAGGCGAAAGUCAUCCAUAAGGAAUCUGAUAUGAUCAUGGCAUUUUCUGUUAAUAAGGCAAAUUGUAAUGAAAUUGUUUUGGCUUCAACACAUGAUGUUCAAGAACUUGAUGUUACUUCUCUACUGGCCUGUCAGUCAUACAUAUGGAUCGGAGAAGAAUAUGACAGAGAAUCCAAAAGUUCAGAUGAUGUUGAUUAUCGUGGUUCCACUACAACUCUUUAUCAACCCAGUGCAACAUCCUAUUCAGCAAGUCAGGUGCAUCCACCUUCAUCUC
rnacentral:sRNA from 1 species